UCAUCUAAGCAAUGGCGUCCGGAUGUAUCAGAUUUCUCGAUGAAUUGCCAAUUCAAUUGGCAGUAUAACGGUAACGGUACCAAUUUACUUUACAAUUUUUUAAUAUGUAUACGGUGUGACCGUUGGACCGAGCGAAGAAUGUAAUGGUCAUUGGAGUGUCCGAAGUGGUAUACUUACCAAUACCUAAGGGUAUGAAUGCCAUCAUAUCUCUAUGCCACUUCUGUGAAGUACAUGGACCACAGGUUCUCUUCUGUACCCAGCCUCGUCAUCCCUUGGAACGAACAACAUCAACAGACUCAGAUGACACUGUAACUGGUGGGCGAUUCGGCCGAUCUUCAUCCAUCACAAAUGAGCCUACUACCCCCACCUCAGCCACACCCAAAAAUGACUUUUGUGGGGGCUGUUCUUCUGUGAGGACAGGAUUUAUAAGUCGAGAUGAAGAUGCGCAAGUGAACUACAUCAGUAGUAAACAACCUUAUGACAGGGAAGUUUACAGUAUGAGUAGACAGGCCUGCUUGCGAUCACUAACAGGGGAGGUAUGUCCUGGAAAAGAUGGUCCAAUAUUCUUUGGAAAUGACCAGCAGGGUCAUGUUCUCAGUUACACAUUUCACAUAAAUGAUAGUCAAGCUCGUGGAUUCAGCCAGCGUUACAGCAUCCUAGUGGUCAUGAUGGACAAAAUAUACCUGCUCAAUUCAUGGCCAUUUCUUGUUCCUCAUCUAAAAACUGUCAUAGAACACAUCACAAAGAAAACUCAUGUUGUGUACGAGAGGGAGAAGGCCAAAAUGCCCCAUCCUCCUCCUCAAGCUUCACGUUGGAGUAAGCCUGCAAGGUCACUAAUGGAUUUGACAGAGGAUAGGAACAUAUUUAAAACCCUGCACUUAUCAUUUGUGUGGAUUCUGAAGGCUUGUGGAAACCGAAUAACUGAGACAUUGCUUGAAGGACCCCCCACUGAGGACUCCAUUAUUGAUAUGGAGAAACAAGAAGAGACAGAGGAAGGUUUCUGCCUGAUUUUUAGUAAGAAGGUGAAUGUAGAGGAAGUGGAAGAGAGUGCAGCCAAUAAAGAGGAUACAUCAGAAAAUCUGGACGUAGAGGAAGGAGAGGGGCCUAUUAUAUCAAACAUCAGACAGCUCAUGAAGAUAUUAGACGAAGAUAAAUUCCAUGUGCUGGCACAUCAUGUUGUCAUUGGCAACCAGAUCAUAGUUCGCAGUUGUUUGAAGUCGGUAGUUAAAUCCGUCCUAAGUGUGCUCAAGAGCCUACUUCCCAAAGGUUGUUGCCGAGUAAUUCCCUACAGUCAUGUGUAUGAAGAAUCCUGGAAGUGUAACUUUUUGGGUCUUGCACCUGAGGUAGAUCUCCCUAUGCAUAUAAUGUCAGACGAAACAUUUGUGUUGGUUGAAGUCAGUCUUGAUGAACCAAAACCAACAGACACACAGUUGGAAGAGGAUACUGAUAAACUUCUCAAAAGACUACUUUUCAACUUGGCCAGUCCUAGAAAAUUACCUGACAAAGACAAUUCAUAAGUCUUCGAAGAGAGCCAGAUGAAAUUAAGAAGAAGUUCUUCAAUCUGAGGCAGAGAGCAAAGGAGAAGAUUGAUUUUAUCAAGAGGGCACUGGAGGAGGUCCUGCUCUACCACCCUUGACAGCUGGGGAGGAAGCUGUGGCACUAUCCCUUCAGAAUAGACCAGUGGCAGGUGGAAUUGAUGGAGGGAUAGAUACUGAUGAAGCCCCUAGUACAUCUGCAGACAAUGUUGAGCCUCCUGCAGCUGAGCCUCCUGCAACUGAGCCCCCUGCAGCUGCAGCAACAUUUGAUGAGACAGUGCAUGCAGAGUGUGACCUGAGGUCUGCCAGGAAGAAGCUAAAAAAUCAGACGCAAAGGAGCAACAGAGGGCCCUGUUAGAGAACAUCAGGCUGGACAACAGGUGUCUGGAGUUGGAAAUCACAAAAUUGCAGAAUGAGUCAGAGAAACUUAUAGUGGAGACAAAUUUUUAUAAAACAAAGACUUUGUACAUUCAGAAAAAGAUGCAGAAUGAGUUUCAAAUGUCAAUAGAGUCAUAAGUAUUUAAUAUUUCCAACUUCCUUCUUUGUUAUACAUUCUUUGGUUGAUUUUAUACCUGCUAAAUCAGUACAUGAAACUAUUAACUACUUAGAAAGUUUAGAAUUCCUUCACAAGAAAUAUCAAAAAUCAUAAAUUUAUUACCAUUUCCUGGGGUGUUUUUUAAUUUUAAAAAUUGUUGUCCAUCCUGAUGUUCCCUCCUCCAAUGUCAUGUCUAAUACUGCAAUUUCUGUGAUUGUCUGAUAUUUUUAAAGUUAAAAUUUUCUUUUAUAAUUAUGAAUUCAAAUAUGUUAUUUGAAAAAAAAUAUUACUUAGAUUAAAUUAGACAAAAGUUGUCUUUACUAUGAAGUAUAUGUACCACCUUAAAAAGUUUUUUUUCCGCAAAUUAGUUGUACACAGAUUAUUUGAAAUCAUAAUUGUCAUUACACUAGCAUAUACAUGUAUGUAAAUAUUUAUAGAAUGUGUACAGAACUUUCCAAUUUCUUUAUGUAAAUUUCCUCUCUUUUUAUACAAAACUAGACUGUAGAAAAUGUAACUGUCUUUGAGUUUUUAAAGUAGAUGCACAUGUGUUUACUAUUCUAUAAUGCAUUUGCUGAAUAUCUAGUUUUUAAGCAUUUUGUAAAAGUGAUUUAAAUCAUCAUGCAUUUCUACAUAAUGAGAAAUGUAUAUCAGUGUAAGUGUACAUUUUUUAAAUUAUGAAUUAUAUCAGAUUGAAAUGUAGAGGUUUAUGUAUGUGUGAUUGUUAGAGAGUUCGAGUAGUAUUCAAGUAUUUUUACUUUAUAUAUUUUUUUUUUGUAUGAUAAGUAAUAUUACAAAUACUUGUCACACAGAUGUCUGAUAUAAGUUUAUUCAGUCUAUGAUUAUAUAAGUGAUUGUUGCAUACCAUAAAUGAAUUUAUCAAUAAUAUCACAUAUUAAGUUAAUAGCAAAAUCUAAGUUUAUCAAUAUAGUGCUGUUAAGGGGAAUAACUCUUGAUUGUAAACUACAUUGUAAGGUAGUUUUAAACAUUUUAUUGUAAUCUAUGUUGUGUGUGUGUGUGUGCGCGCACGCGCUAUUGGUCCCAGAUAUUAUUAUACCCCCCGCAACAAGUUGUGGGGGGGGUAUACUGGAAUCAGGUUGUCCGUCUGUCUGUCCGUCCGUCCGUCCGUCCGUCUGUAGACGCAAUGGUUUCCGGGCUCUAAAGCAUUAUCCUUUCCACCUACCGUCACCAUAUCAUAUAUAUGGACUACCCAUGGGAUGAAGAUGUUCCCUAUCGAUUUUGAGGUCAAAGGUCAAGCGCACUGGACAUGGAAGUAGCAAUAUGGUUUCCGGGCUCUAAAGCGUUAUCCUUUCCACCUACCGUCACCAUAUCAUACAUAUGGACUACCCAUGGGAUAAAGAUGUUCCCUAUUGAUUUUGGGGUCAAAAGGUCAAAGGUCAAGCGCACUGGACAUCGAAGUAGCAAUAUGGUUUCCGGGCUCUAAAGCGUUAUCCUUUCCACCUACAGUCACCAUAUCAUACAUAUGGACUACCCAUGGGAUGAAGAUGUUCCCUAUUGAUUUUGGGGUCAAAAGGUCAAAGGUCACGCGCACUGGACAUCGAAGUAGCAAUAUGGUUUCCAUUUAAAUUCUUUAAUGGCUUUUUUCAUUGCAUGGAGAUGCUGUGUUCCUAGAUACCUUUUGGAUCAUAAUACUGAAGUUUUACCUAUUACCAACACCCUUUGGGAGAUUGGGGUAAGCGGAGGGUAUUCUUAGUGAGCAUUGCUCACAGUACCUCUUGUUUUUGGGCUGAAAAUUUAUAAAACACCUGUGUUGAACCUAAUUAAUUUAAACAAUAUUUUGUUGUGUAUAAUACAUAAAAGGAUUGGACAACAGGUGUUGCCUAUAUAAGCCCUCUCCAUACAAAUACAUGGUCAAGGUCAUACAGAUAUAGUUAUUAUGUAAUGAUAAUGAAGCAAUAUAAUAUUUUAAAAUACAUUUAUAUAUGUUUAACAGUUUCCAUUUCUCUGAUAAUUUACAGCUUGAUGUAUGAAUGACAAAUAUAAGUUAUGUAUGGGUAUAGAAAUUUACUUCACAGGAAAAAGAUAUAAACAAGUUGGUUCUGUGGUUUGAGAAUGAAACAUUUUAAGAAAUUAAACAAAUCUAUUUGUAGACAAAUAAAUAAAUUCAUGCACAAUUUUGAAAAUUGUAACAUUUUGGUUAUAACUGAGAUUAUUGUCACCAUACAAAAUAGGUUCUAAGGAUAAAGGUAAUUGUAAUUUUAGAUCAUUAAAACUUUGUAUCAGUAUUUGUCUUUGUGUACAAUAUUUUGGACACUUCAGAAAAAAGUGAAGUGUGGUUUCAGGACUAUUUUGACACAAGUCACAAUUAGGAUUUUCCCUAAUAAAGUGCUUAAAUAAUUUAAAAGCUGUAAAUAUGUUUAUAAUGAUGUAGCAAUUCAAUGAUGUUUGAAAUUUUGAAACAAGAUAUAACAUAAAUUGAUUUGAAGCCUCCAAAUGAACUGACAUUCAUAAAUACAAACUUCCUUAGGGCUGACAGUAACUUUUAAAAAAAAUUGGUAACAGUGUGUUGUCUCAUGGCAAUACCAUCAUUCCUACCAUGGAUUUGACCCAUCAUACCAUCACCAUCCACAGGCCGCAAGUUUCCAUCGUCGUUUUGUAGGAUAUCACCUCUCUCCAUACCAAUGUUAUGGAGGACCACACACGCUACUACAAAAACGGCUGCCUGUGGAGGCUCUGUCAAAAUUUCAUGGUGAAGAGCCUGAAACCUUUUCUUUAGGACACCAAAAGUCUGUUCUAUUAGAACCCUUGUUCGGCAGAGUGCAUCAUUGAAAGCAGUUUCUGCUGGGGUUGAUGGAUUCAGAAAUGGUGUCAUAAGAAAUCGCCGGCAGGGGUAGCCAGAAUCACCCA